AACCAUAGAAACCUGCGGAGUACCUGCGGAAGGAUCAUUACAGAGUUGCAAAACUCCCUAAACCAUUGUGAACGUUACCUAAACCGUUGCUUCGGCGGGCGGCCCGGGUCCUCCCCGGCGCCCCUCGGCCCUCGCGGGCGCCCGCCGGAGGUAAACCAAACUAUUGCAUUGUAUGGCCUCUCUGAGUCUUCUGUACUGAAUAAGUCAAAACUUUUAACAAUGGAUCUCAGAUCGGAAGAG
rnacentral:misc_RNA from 1 species